rnacentral:misc_RNA from 1 species
AAUUCUCAAAAUCCCCCAUCUCUCCAAUUUGUUGAGAAGGCAUUUUGGAUACUGGGAGUUGCAGGUUAUAUAAACCAGCUCUCCUCAAAUACAUUAGCAGGGAAAUAUGGCAGCUUCUGUAUUGGUGUGAUAAAAUCAUUUACACCAUGAAUAAGCCACGUAUAAUCCUGCUCUUGAGAACUUGUUACUGUCUUCGACAGUAAGUAGUAAUGACCA